AUGUCUGAUGCUACCACGAAGGCACAGAAAGAUGUGGCAUGGGGAAAACGGACCCGGGUAGACGUUGGCUGUGGAGUUGUUGCUAGCUUUGGAGGAUAUCUGUUUGAGAGAGAUGUGCUUACGAUGUCGUUUGCACCUAAAGAUGAGCAUGAAGCUCAGGUGCAGUUUGCCGUCGAGAGAGGAAUCCCUGCUAUAUCAGUGGUUAUGGGUACGAAAGGCUCCCAUUUCCCAGCAGGGUCUUUGAUGCUGUACACUGUGCACGCUGUAGAGUACCAUGGCAUAUUGAAGUGUUGUCUGGCAGGCGGUAAGCUCUUGCUAGAAUUGAACAGACUAUUACAGCCUGGUGGUUACUUUGUGUGGUCUGCUACUCCUGUAUACCCGGAGCUGCCAGAAGAUGUCAAGAUAUGCGAAGGUGUAGCGAUUUUUCGGAAACUAAUGGACAACCGCUGCUACGACGGAAGGUCUACUGCAAACCCUCCACUGUGUGGAGAUUGUGAUAAUCCUGAUGCUGCCUGGUGA
rnacentral:rRNA from 1 species